UACGGGGGAUGCGAGCGUUAUCCGGAUUUAUUGGGUUUAAAGGGCGCGUAGGCGGGACGUCAAGUCAGCGGUAAAAGACUGCAGCUAAACUGUAGCACGCCGUUGAAACUGGCGCCCUCGAGACGAGACGAGGGAGGCGGAACAAGUGAAGUAGCGGUGAAAUGCAUAGAUAUCACUUGGAACCCCGAUAGCGAAGGCAGCUUCCCAGGCUCGAUCUGACGCUGAUGCGCGAGAGCGUGGGUAGCGAACAGG
rnacentral:rRNA from 1 species